rnacentral:tRNA from 1 species
GCAAGUUUUGAAAAACCUGUAACCCUUGUACAGCAAGGAGUGUUGGCUGAUUUGUAAUCAGCCGGUCGCAAGUUCGAGUCUUGUCACCAGCUUGCC